rnacentral:lncRNA from 1 species
GGGCACAAGAUGGACACAGGAUGUUCCCCAAUCAAGGCUGCUCGGUGGGUUUCAGAAAUGGGAACACCCGUCCCUUCAAGCAUCCAUAGCGUGUGAACUGUAGGACUGUAGGGUGAAGGUCAUCCCAGAGCUCAGCAUUGAAACCAGCCGGAAAUUGUUCAGUUGGGGGAACUAGGGGAAAGGGAACAGUGAUGUGAAGGGCAGAGGCAGUGGUGGGAAGCCUGUGUGUGGCCGACGCAUGCUUUUACGCUGUCAUCACGGCCUUGCUUUCUAUAGCAGGGAUCUGAGAAGCAGGCAGGCAGCUGCUCUGCCUGAGACUGUCAGGAGUUGGUGGAUAUGAAUCCAUGUCUGAAGCCCAAGCUCUCGCUACUCUGCUGUCUCCCUGAGGGGUGCAUGAAGGCCCCAGCCCAGUCAGUGACACAGAGGUUGGGAAGACCAGGGCAUGAAGCUUCUGUGCUUGGAGAACAGGAGGGCUUGUGGAGCUGUGGUUGAUGGCAUGUCCAGGAAGCCUGGCCAGGGUGAGUAACAGGCCUUGUAUGUCAGGCUAAGAAAGUUGCCCUUGACAGUGCGGGACGUGGGGAGCCAUGGGCAGGUUUUCAGCAAGGACAUAAAGAGAUCAAUUCCAGGCUUUGGAGAGAGCACCAGGGUGCUGGGUGCAGGGAUAGGAGUUGGGGUGGGUACUGAGGGUGCCAGCCAUGAGGACAAUGGUGGCACCUGGAAGCAUGCAUCCCCAGGCUGUGGUGAGCAGCCUCGGGUGCCAGGCACCGGGCUGGGCACUGAACCCCCCUUACCACACUGACCUGCACUACUGAGCUAUGGAGCUGGGGGUUGUCACACCAUCUGACGAAUAGGGAAAUGCAGGCUCCAGGUUCUGAGAGCAGGUGGAGUAAAGCACAUCCGCUGGGGGUGGCCCUGUGUGCCUGGCUCUGCGUCAGGCACUCGGGCCAUAGAGCCUCACCCAGUCUCAGAGGACACCGUGGCCUGUCUGCUGCUGCCCCUGGUGCUUCCUGGCAUCACUGGCUGGAAAGGAGGCUUUGGGGCCUCUGCACAUUUUCACCACCCCCCCAUCCUCUAAUACCUCUUUCCUCCUCCAUGGCUGGGCCUGGAGGAUCUUUGUUUCCAGCUGGGGUCUGGCAACAGCCUCACCACGAUGGCAUGGCGGUGGGCCCGGCCUCUACCCGCUGCGCCACAGCUCCUGGCUCCUGGCUCCAGGUCAUCUCUGCCCACAGCCAGCGUCUCUGCAAGCCUGCUCUAGAAGAUCUCUCUGCAGUCUCCCAGGAGGCAGCCCUGCCAGUGUCUCUGGAUCUGGCCUGGUGGGUGUUGCCUCUGCGAGCAGCAUCUCCCCUGCAUCCACCUGAGGGUCACCGUGGCUCCCUUAUAGGGCUGGACUCCUCCCCCUUCUCCCAUUCCCUGGCUGGGCUCCUCUUCCUUGGGACCUUCAUAGCUUGAUGAGAAGACAGUGCCCUCUCGGCCAGACCAGGACAUUAUUUGACAGUAGAGAAACUGGAGUGUAGACAAACACCAUGGAUGCUGUGUGGAAGAGUUGUUCCCAGCUGAAGAUGUCCCUCCUCAGUGAAGCCCUGCCUGAGCGCCUCCGGUCCUUCUCAGCAGCCAGAGGCUUCUCAGCACUUCUGCGUUCCCAUCUGGGUGGGAACUGCAUGGCCUGUUUAAGCACAAGGAGGGGGAGUGUGGGGAAGGGGGAGCAGAGUGAGUGGGGAGGCCAGAAAGGCAGGCACUGGUUCAUGUAGGGUGGUUGAUACAGUUUGGAUGUUUGUCCUCUCCAAAUCUCAUACUGAAAUGUGACCCUCAAUGCUGGAGGUGGGACCUGGUGGGAGGUGCUUGGGUGACAUGGGCCAAUCCCUCAUGAAUGGCCUGGUGCCCUCCCUGUGGUAAUGAAUUCCCAUGAGAUCUGAUUGUUAGAAAGAGCCUAGGUAGCUCCUCUCUCUUGCUCCAUCUGUCACUGUGGGACACCUCUGCUACCCUUCACCUCCCACCAGGAGGGGAAGCUUCCUGAGGCCCUGACCCCAAGCAGAUGCUGCUGCCAUGCCUCCGGUACUGCCUGCAGAACUGUGGACCAAAUAAACCUCUCUUCUUUAUAAACGGCCCAGUCUCCGGCAUUCUUUUAUGGUAACGCAAAACGUAUAAGCACAAUCUUGUGGAGAAACUUCCCUACCACAGCGGCCUUGGCAGUCGGUCCUGCUCCUGAUGAGGUGAUAGAGAACAGCACCUGAGAUGAUUAGAGGAGAGGGCCCUGACAUCCUCUGUGCCCUCUGCCCUAACAUCCUCUGUGCCCUCUGCCCUGGCAUCCUCUGUGCCCUCUGCCCCGACGUCCUCCGAGUCCUCUGCCCCAACGUCCCCCGUGCCCUCUGACCUUAUG